AACGAACGCUGGCGGCGUGUUUAAGACAUGCAAGUCGCACGGGAUAAGACAUGUAGUAAUACUUGUUUUAUUUAGUGGCGCACGGGUGAGUAACAUGUGAAUUACAUGCCCUAUAGUGGGGAAUGGCCCAGGGAAACUUGGAUUAAUACCCCAUGGUAUCGAGGGAUUAAAGGUGGCCGCAAGGCUGUCGCUAUAGGAUUGGUUCGCGCCCUAUCAGCUUGUUGGUGAGGUAACGGCUCACCAAGGCAAUGACGGGUACCUGGUCUGAGAGGACGAUCAGGCACACUGGAACUGAGACACGGUCCAGACACCUACGGGUGGCAGCAGUCGAGAAUAAUUCACAAUGGGGGCAACCCUGAUGGUGCAACGCCGCGUGAAGGAUGACGGUCUUCGGAUUGUAAACUCCUGUCAUCUGGGAGAAAGACCUGACGGUAAAUAGCCGGCAGGGUUGAUAGUACCAGAAGAGGAAGGGACGGCUAACUUCGUGCCAGCCGCCGCAGUAA
rnacentral:rRNA from 1 species